CUGGUGUUCACUAGCGAACCAGCACCAAAACACAACAUAUGCUGGUCUUGCUGGUAUGCUGUUUUUUUCAGCAGGGUAGCCCCUUUCAUUCCUUAGGAUCCAAACAGGGAUGGAUUUAGAAGCCACCAAACACUUCCAUGUUUUCCCUAGUUAAUGACUGUUACAUAAGGAGUUACAUGAGUAAGUAUGGUAGCACAAAAUAAAAUGUGGUGAUUUUUUUAAGCUGAUAAAAAAUGAGAACUAAAUUGUAUGGCGGAAGAGCACUUAGUUUGCAACACUUUAACCUCAACCUCUCAUUUUUUAUCUGCUUAAAAAAUCGCCAUGUUUUAUUUUGUCCCACCAUACUUAGUCCCACUACUCAUGUAACACACUUUCUGGCCUUAUUAGCAGGAAGUAUUAGUCUGCCUGCUUUUCCUCCUGUUCAUUUGUUGCUCCGACCCCUCCCACCCACCACAAGACGUCAUUUAGACGUUGUUUUUUGGGCUAAAUCACGUCGGCCCGUCAUGACCUUCAUUUAGUCCAAAAAAAGACGUUGAAAUCUGGUCUUUGUUUGGUCCGUCUAAUUCAGUCCAAAUUUAGCCUAAAAUCAGAUGUCUUUUUCGGACCACUUUUCUACUACAAUAGAACCAUGUGAACCAAGUGUCUGUCCAUUAAAUAAUAAUCCUAACAAAAUAUGCAUGAAUGUAUAGGUAGAAACAAUAAAUAAUGAGCACACUGAACGAUAAUGAAUAUGCUUUAUUUAAAGUCUAUUAAUAUUUCUGUUUAUUUUAAUGAAAUAAAUAUGUAAAAUGGGCUUUCGGUCCCGUACAGCACUGUUAGAAGCACUUCAUUUUCAUCUUUUAACAAAUAUCUUUAUUUUCUUUAAUUAUGAUAUUAUUGGCAGAGGCGCGCGUCCGUCUCGUGCUUUGUGAUCACGUGAUUAUUCAACCGGGAGACGGGCGUUCUGGAUUCUCCUCAGACAACAAGUGUUACUGUUUUGUGGUCGAUUCUGGGAUCCUUUUCUUGGUGUGUCUUGAUGUUUUCUAUUGGCUAAAGACAUGCCUCUGUGAAACUGACAAUCUCGGGUAGGAGCUGCUGGUUUGUGGUUGGCAGUAUGGAUCACGGUCUGCGACUCAUGAGGAGCUGGGCUGGAGACAUGAAGAGGUUGUCAACAGGUGAAGAGGUCUGAAGCUAAUACCUGCCAUGGUCUGAUUGGUAUUUCAUAGAGUUGGGGUACUCGAACCUGGACUCGGACUCGAGUCC